rnacentral:rRNA from 1 species
CCUACGGGUGGCUGCAGUGGGGAAUAUUGGACAAUGGGGGCAACCCUGAUCCAGCCAUGCCGCGUGUGUGAAGAAGGCCCUCGGGUUGUAAAGCACUUUCAGUGAGGAAGAACGCCUGGUGGUUAAUACCCAUCAGGAAAGACAUCACUCACAGAAGAAGCACCGGCUAACUCCGUGCCAGCAGCCGCGGUAAUACGGAGGGUGCGAGCGUUAAUCGGAAUUACUGGGCGUAAAGCGCGCGUAGGUGGCUUGAUAAGCCGGUUGUGAAAGCCCCGGGCUCAACCUGGGGACGGCAUCCGGAACUGUCAAGCUAGAGUGCAGGAGAGGAAGGUAGAAUUCCCGGUGUAGCGGUGAAAUGCGUAGAGAUCGGGAGGAAUACCAGUGGCGAAGGCGGCCUUCUGGACUGACACUGACACUGAGGUGCGAAAGCGUGGGUAGCAAACAGGAUUAGAUACCCGGGUAGUC